rnacentral:rRNA from 1 species
CAACCUGCCCACCACUUGGGGAUAACCUUGCGAAAGUAAGACUAAUACCCAAUGAUAUCUCUAGAAGACAUCUGAAAGAGAUUAAAGAUUUAUCGGUGAUGGAUGGGGAUGCGUCUGAUUAGCUUGUUGGCGGGGUAACGGCCCACCAAGGCAACGAUCAGUAGGGGUUCUGAGAGGAAGGUCCCCCACAUUGGAACUGAGACACGGUCCAAACUCCUACGGGAGGCAGCAGUGAGGAAUAUUGGUCAAUGGGCGAGAGCCUGAACCAGCCAAGUAGCGUGCAGGAUGACGGCCCUAUGGGUUGUAAACUGCUUUUAUAAGGGAAUAAAGUGAGUCUCGUGAGACUUUUUGCAUGUACCUUAUGAAUAAGGACCGGCUAAUUCCGUGCCAGCAGCCGCGGUAAUACGGAAGGUCCGGGCGUUAUCCGGAUUUAUUGGGUUUAAAGGGAGCGUAGGCCGGAGAUUAAGCGUGUUGUGAAAUGUAGACGCUCAACGUCUGCACUGCAGCGCGAACUGGUUUCCUUGAGUACGCACAAAGUGGGCGGAAUUCGUGGUGUAGCGGUGAAAUGCUUAGAUAUCACGAAGAACUCCGAUUG